GACGAACGCGGCGGCGUGCCUAAUACAUGCAAGUAGAACGCUGAAGGAGGAGCUUGCUUCUCCGGAUGAGUUGCGAACGGGUGAGUAACGCGUAGGUAACCUGCCUGGUAGCGGGGGAUAACUAUUGGAAACGAUAGCUAAUACCGCAUAAGAGUAGAUGUUGCAUGGCAUUUACUUAAAAGGUGCAAUUGCACCACUACCAGAUGGACCUGCGUUGUAUUAGCUAGUUGGUGGGGUAACGGCUCACCAAGGCGACGAUACAUAGCCGACCUGAGAGGGUGAUCGGCCACACUGGGACUGAGACACGGCCCAGACUCCUACGGGAGGCAGCAGUAGGGAAUCUUCGGCAAUGGACGAAAGUCUGACCGAGCAACGCCGCGUGAGUGAAGAAGGUUUUCGGAUCGUAAAGCUCUGUUGUAAGAGAAGAACGAGUGUGAGAGUGGAAAGUUCACACUGUGACG
rnacentral:rRNA from 1 species